AUGCCAUUUUGGUAGGCCGUACUUGGUGGUUUCAUUUUUCGCCUCGUGGAAGAAAAAAAAAAAAAAAAGACUUUCCACGCUGUAUUAGAUAAUUUUAAUUUGGGAUGAGACGAGCGCUCGGUUGAAGUUGUUAUCAAUUAAUCGGCUAGCACGCGAUUGAGGAAGUCGUUUUGAUUGGAUUAGUGAGCGUGGGGGGGGGACGUACGCAUUUGUCAUUACGCGGCGCAGUUGAAGAGUCGCAGCGAACAAAGGAAGGCUGAGGUCGAUACACUCUGUCCGCGCUGUCGGGGGGAAAUAUCAUUUUAGUUCUUUAAUGUUAACCUUGCUUAACGACGUUGUAUUAUAAGUUGACGUAAGACGUGUUUUGAGUAGAUUCAACAAAUAAUUGGCUGCACUCGUUUAGUUGUUAGCAUCAUCGGCUAAGAGGACAAUCAGCGAGCUGACGGCGUUCAAUUGAAACGAGCUUUGUUUUUUUUAAAAGAAUGGCGGAAGUUUAUAUUAGAGUGGCGGAGGAGGAAAACGAGGAGCCCAUGGAGAUCCCGUCCGAGGACGACGGCACUGUUCUGCUUUCAACCGUGGCAGCUCAGUUUCCAGGGGCGUGUGGCCUGCGAUUCAGGAGCCCCGUGUCCCAGUGCAUGCGAGGAGUGCGUCUCGUGGAAGGGAUCCUGCACGCGCCCGAAAACGGAUGGGGCAAUGUGGUGUAUGUGGUGAACUAUCCAAAAGACAACAAAAGAAAAAUGGAGGAAAUUGAUGCCUCCUCUGCUGUGAAAAUGAAGAGAGGGGACAUGAAGACGUCUGAUCUGAUCGUCCUGGGUCUUCCUUGGAAAACAUCUGAGCAGGACCUUAAAGACUACUUUAGCACAUUUGGAGAAGUCAUUAUGGUUCAGGUGAAACGAGAUGCGAAGACUGGGAACUCUAAAGGAUUUGGCUUUGUAAGGUUCACUGAGUAUGAGUCUCAAGAAAAGGUGAUCUCUCAGCGCCAUAUGAUUGACGGAAGAUGGUGUGACUGCAAGCUCCCUAAUUCAAAGGUGACUAUGCAAGGUCCAGAUGAGCCAUUAAGGAGCCGUAAAGUGUUUGUUGGCCGUUGCACAGAAGACAUGACCACAGAUGAUCUAAGGCAGUUCUUUAUGCAGUAUGGAGAAGUCACAGAUGUCUUCAUCCCCAAGCCAUUCCGUGCUUUUGCCUUUGUCACAUUUGCAGAUGAUCAGGUUGCCCAGUCUCUCUGUGGAGAGGACCUAAUAAUCAAAGGCGUCAGCGUUCAUAUCUCAAAUGCUGAGCCCAAACAUGGCAAUAGGCAGUUUGACCGCACCACACGUUUUGGGAAUGGCUUUGGGGCUCAAGCAUUUGGUAGCAGUCGUAGCGGGUUAGGAGGGAGCAGCACUAACAGUAGUCUGGCUAACUUCGGUUCCUUCAGUCUGAACCCCGCCAUGAUGGCUGCGGCUCAGGCUGCACUUCAGAGUAGUUGGGGGAUGAUGGGAAUGCUGGCUAGCCAGCAGCAGACGUCUACCUCAGGCAGUACCUCAAGUGGAACAAGCUCAAGCAGGGACCCAAGUCAGUCUUUCAGUGCAGGAAACAGCAACUAUGGCACUAACUCAGCAAGCCUGGGCUGGGGAGCAGGGUCAAACUCUGCAACCAGUGGUAGUGGGUUUAGCUCAGGUUUUGGGUCCAGUAUGGAGUCAAAGUCGUCUGGGUGGGGUAUGUAAGUUAAAUGUUUGUAUGGUAAGUAUUGUGAAAAAGCCGAGUCUUUUCAAAAUUUAUUUCUGGUGUUGAUGCGUAUCUGAAAACUUAACACUUUUAUGGAAGAUGUUUUGUACAUUUGGAAAAAAAAACUGCUAAAGAUUUAAUUUAGAAAGUGUCGAAGUGAGUUGUUUACCAGGAUGUCUGACUAAAGUGCUAUUUUUGAUGUUUCAUUUGUUUGUAUCCAUUUCAACUGGAUUCUCUAAUGCAUGUAUUGUGAAAUGUGUUAUAGCCAUUUUGAAAAUGCAUGAAUGUUUGUGGUUCACCAUUAUCCAGCUUUGUCGUUGACCUAAAAUGCAAUCUUGCAUUGAGAAGAAUCUGGUUGAAAACUUAAUGUUUUAAGUGCAACUUAAUUUGCAGUCAAGUUCUGUGGAAAGCCUUCAUUGAAAUCUCUUCUGCAGUUCACCUCUCUUCAAUUUUCCUGUGAGGAAGCUCCUCUUUGGCAGCAUUCUUGGGGUGAUAUCGGUAUCAUUCUCCCUCUUCCCACCUGUAAAUGCAAUGCCAUCAAAGAACGGCUUCACUACGCAUGUUCUAAGAGACGGGACCUUGGGCUCUGCUGGUCGAGGUCUCCGUUUGAACCCUGACUGAAGUCUGUUCUGAAGGACGAAGACGGAAGUUCCAACACUUUCAGUGUGUGGCCUUCUCAUACAUGACAUGGGGUAGUACCUGUCUUUUUGCUGCUUUCAAUGGCUUUUAGAGUAAAUUAUCCCUUUCUGAUUAUUCACACCUAGUUUUAGAUUUGUCUUUAUUUGGAUCUUAAAAAGAUGAGCUCUCAAUGUGGAAUCAGAUCUCCUAGCCAUGUUUUGUGUAUGGCCUAACACCCAGUGGCCACUUGAUUCAGUACACCUGUACAAUCUAUUGCAAAUACUUAAGUUUCCCCGUGGGUGAUACGUAACGGCCAGCAUCUGUGCUGUGUGCCCUAUGAGUUAAAUCUGCAGAAGACCUCAGAUCUUCAUUAAAAAAAUAACUGUUAACAUAUGAUUUUGUAUUUAGCAGUUUUGAUGAUAAACUUAGAUGUCUGCUCCUGUGUGCACUGCUUUGUCUUUCAAAAACCAAAUCUAUUCAGGUGAAGUACCAUGUUGACCAUUGAAAUAGUGUCUAAUAAUACAUUUGACUUAAUGGCAGGUGUCAUAAAUUGUACAGGUGUCCCUAACAAAGUGAUCAGUGGGUGUACUUGUGGUAAGUGCUAAAACAUUUUAUCAGUUUUUGAACCUUGGCAGGUGUAUCAUUAGUUGUUCAGACUGUGGUCAGCGCCUCUUUGACAGCUUUUUAAAAUAUCAAAUAAAAAUAUUCAAAUACAA